rnacentral:rRNA from 1 species
UACGUAGGAGACGAACGUUAUCCGGAGUUACUGGGCGUAAAGGGCGUGUAGGCGGUUUGUUAAGUCUGGCGUGAAAGCUCUCGGCUAAACCGGGAGAGGUCGUUGGAUACUGGCGAACUAGAGGAUGGUAGAGGCGUGUGGAAUUCCGGGUGUAGUGGUGAAAUGCGUAGAGAUCCGGAGGAACACCAGUGGCGAAGGCGACACGCUGGGCCAUACCUGACGCUAAAGCGCGACAGCAUGGGGAGCAAACGGG